rnacentral:rRNA from 1 species
GGAGUACGAACGGACUAGCUACAGGCGUUAACACAUGCGAAGUCGCGGGGCGAGCAUGGGGUUGGCUUGCAAUCCCGACUGGCGACCGCGCACGGUGAGUAACGCGUAUCCAACCUGCCCUUCACCACGGGAUAACCCGGCGAAAGCCGGACUAAUACCGUAUGUUGUCCAUUGACGGCAUCCGAUUUGGACGAAAGGUUUGGCGGUGAGGGAUGGGGAUGCGUCCGAUUAGCUUGACGGCGGGGUAACGGCCCACCGUGGCUACGAUCGGUAGGGGUUCUGAGAGGAAGGUCCCCCACACUGGAACUGAGACACGGUCCAGACUCCUACGGGAGGCAGCAGUGAGGAAUAUUGGUCAAUGGGCGUAAGCCUGAACCAGCCAAGUAGCGUGCAGGAUGACGGCCCUAUGGGUUGUAAACUGCUUUUAUGCGGGGAUAAAGUGGCCCACGUGUGGGUUUUUGCAGGUACCGCAUGAAUAAGGACCGGCUAAUUCCAUG